AGUCGAACGAGAGUGCUUGCACUCUAGUGGCGAACGGGUGAGUAACACGUUAUCUAAUUUGCCUUUUUGAGGGGAAUAACCGUUGGAAACGACGGCUAAUACCGCAUAGGUUAUCGUUAGGCAUCUAAUGAUAAUUAAAGGUGCGCAUUUGCACUACAAAAAGAUAAGGAUGCGCUGCAUUAGUUAGUUGGUAAGGUAAUGGCUUACCAAGACGAUGAUGCAUAGCCGACCUGAGAGGGUGAACGGCCACACUGGGAUUGAGACACGGCCCAGACUCCUACGGGAGGCAGCAGUAGGGAAUUUUUCACAAUGGGCGAAAGCCUGAUGGAGCAAUGCCGCGUGACUGAUGAAGGCCUUCGGGUUGUAAAGGUCUGUUGUAAGGAAAGAAUAGUAAGAAUAGGAAAUGAUUCUUAUUUGACGGUACUUUACCAGAAAGCCACGGCAAACUAUGUGCCAGCAGCCGCGGUAAUACAUAGGUGGCAAGCGUUAUCCGGAUUUAUUGGGCGUAAAGGGUGCGUAGGCGGUAAUAUAAGUCUAAGGUUAAAGAUCGAAGCUCAACUUCGAUUUGCCUUGGAAACUGUAUAACUAGAGUACAGGAGAGGUUAGUGGAAUUCCAUGUGUAGCGGUGAAAUGCGUAGAUAUAUGGAGGGACACCAGUGGCGAAGGCGACUAACUGGCCUGUAACUGACGCUGAGGCACGAAAGCAGGAGUAUCAAAUAGGAUUAGAUACCCUAGUAGUUCCUGCCGUAAACGAUGAGUACUAAGUGUCGGCUUUAAUGUCGGUGCUGUAGCUAACGCAUUAAGUACUCCGCCUGAGUAGUAUGCUCGCAAGAGUGAAACUCAAAGGAAUUGACGGGGCCCGCACAAGCGGUGGAUCAUGUGGUUUAAUUCGAAGCAACGCGAAGAACCUUACCCAGACUUGACAUCCAGUGCAAUGCUAUAGAAAUAUAGUGGAGGUUAACACUGAGACAGGUGGUGCAUGGUUGUCGUCAGCUCGUGUCGUGAGAUGUUGGGUUAAGUCCCGCAACGAGCGCAACCCUUAUCAUUAGUUGCUAACAUUUAGUUGAGGACUCUAAUGAGACUGCUAGUGCAAGCUAGAGGAAGGUGGGGAUGACGUCAAAUCAUCAUGCCCCUUAUGUCUGGGGCUACACACGUGAUACAAUGGUCGGUACAAAGAGUCGCAAACUCGCAAGGGCAAGCUAAUCUCAAAAAGCCGAUCUCAGUUCGGAUUGAAGUCUGCAACUCGACUCCAUGAAGUUGAAAUCGCUAGUAAUCGCGGAUCAGCAAUGCCGCGGUGAAUACGUUCUCGGGUCUUGUACACACCGCCCGUCACACCACGAGAGUUGGUAAUGCCAGAAGUUCGUAUCUUAACAGUUUACUGAGAGAGCGACCCAAGGUAGGAUUGACGAUUGGGGUGAAGUCGUAACAAGGUAACC
rnacentral:rRNA from 1 species